UACGGAGGGGGCUAGCGUUGUUCGGAAUUACUGGGCGUAAAGCGCACGUAGGCGGCUUUGUAAGUUAGAGGUGAAAGCCCGGGGCUCAACUCCGGAAUUGCCUUUAAGACUGCAUCGCUAGAAUUGUGGAGAGGUAAGUGGAAUUCCGAGUGUAGAGGUGAAAUUCGUAGAUAUUCGGAAGAACACCAGUGGCGAAGGCGACUUACUGGACCAGAACUGACGAUCAGGCACGAAAGCGUGGGGAGCAAACAGG
rnacentral:rRNA from 1 species